GAAGAUGCUGGAGACUUUGUUGCAAGAAAGGAUGGCUUUAGGUCAUAUUGCUGAGGCCUGAUCUUAAAGAUCUAAUUGCUAUUGGAAGAGAAUCCUGUUUCCCAACUGGGCCUCCCCUCUGGAGAUGGAGCAAGGAAGACUGUCCAACUCUGCUCUGGGCACCCUGCUGAUGGAUGAGGUGUCAGGCCAGUCGUCAUGUGAGGACUGGUUUCCAAAUGCAGAAACAAAAAGAAAAAUUACUGUCAUGUGAUGUGUGAUCCAUGAUACCAUCAUAGUUUUAUUUAGCUGUGCUCCACCUUCAUAUCUUCACCUAUGUUAGAACUUCUGAGAAGCUGAAGCAUCACAUAUAAGAAGCCAAGACCAUCCUCAAGAAGUUUAAUGAAUGUGGCACCACAAGAAAAAAUAUGCAUCAACAUUGAAAAGAAAAGAAAUAAAAUUCCAUUAAGAGAGCUUGAGGAAGUGGACUUAACUAAGCUGGAGUAAGGAGUGCAGAGAGUGAGGAGACAGGAUGCAAAACAAGAAGAUGAGGAAACAGGCCUGAGAACAACAUGAAUUCUACAAUACAUUUACUG
rnacentral:antisense_RNA from 1 species